AUGGCUGUCGUCAGCUCGUGUCGUGAGAUGUUGGGUUAAGUCCCGUAACGAGCGCAACCCCUAUCCUUAUUUGCCAGCACAUUAUGGUGGGAACUAUAAGGAGACUGCCGGUGAUAAACCGGAGGAAGGCGGGGACGACGUCAAGUCAUCAUGGCCCUUACGACCAGGGCUACACACGUGCUACAAUGGGAAGGACAAAGAGCCGCGAAGCCGCGAGGUGUAGCUAAUCUCAUAAAUCUUUUCGUAGUCCGGAUUGGAGUCUGCAACUCGACUCCAUGAAGUCGGAAUCGCUAGUAAUCGUAGAUCAGAAUGCUACGGUGAAUACGUUCCCGGGUCUUGUACACACCGCCCGUCAUACCAUGGGAGUGGGUUGCACCAGAAGUGGCUAGUCUAACUUUGUGAGGACGGUCACCACGGUGUGAUUCAUGACUGGGGUAAAGUCGUAACAAGGUAGCCCUACCGGAAGGUGGGGCUGGAUCACCUCCUUAAAAUAUGCAUUCUCUGCAAGUACCCACAACCUAUUGUUUGUUUCCAUUUUUGGCAAGAUGCUGUAACGCAUCGUUCUGAGCCCGGCUGCUAUUUACUGCAGCCGCUUAAGAGCUAUGUAUUUAAGUGUUUUAGCCCAGCGCGUCAUGCGCUUUGUAUCGGUGGCCCCGAUGCAGGUUCUUUAAAAAAGUGAAUAAGUGAUAAAGUCUGUAAAUAAUCAAUGAUUGAAACCUAUUGAUUAAAUACAAAAAUUAACAUCCGCAAAUAAGAUAUUGUUUCUGUUCGGCUCAUACAUAAUUCAAACGGUGUACAGGUCGAUAUACUUCAGAAACAAGACUCACAUUUGUAAAAUUCAAGCGUAAUAUCCGGUGAAUCAAUAUUUUGUAAUGUUAACCCUGGUGAAGUAUCAAAAGGACAGGGUUAAGAGUUCAUUCAAUUUAUAUGAUCAAGCGAAUAAGCGCAUAUGGUGGAUGCCUAGGCAGUUGGAGGCGAUGAAGGACGUUGUAGCCUGCGAUAAGCUCGGGGGAGCUGGCAAACAAGCGCUAUAUCCCGAGAUGUCCGAAUGGGGAAACCCGG
rnacentral:sRNA from 1 species